GGAAGAAUGCACCUUUCUGGUGCCAGGUGAGGCAUAGCCAGGCUCCCAGACCGUGGGAGUUGGAGAUGCCCAGGCAGGGGCACAAGUGCUUGCAGACACCCCAGGGAGAUUGCAGUUGCCACCUGAGGAUCCCAGAGACUCUGAAGACACCCUGACUUCAACUGCAGGAGUCAUGUGAGGGGCGCCACUCAGGACAGUCAGUGGGAGCCUGCGGCGGAGCAAGGAGGAGACAGCUGGGCACGGCGACCAGCGUGGCUGAGCGAUGGAGCCAUUGGGGGAGACGUGACAUGGUCCUGAGCUCAGGCGCUGUGGAAUUUUCAUGACGCCGUUGAGGGUGGCAACAGGAAACAUGAGUUGUGAAGCAGUCACAGACAGCAUAGGCUGUACCAGGCCCUUCAUGUCUCCUCAGAUGCUGUUAGCAAGGGGAGGAAGCACCUGUUCGGGGUCACCUGCUGGCUGCAAUUCUCCUGUCCUCUGGCACUGGAAUAGGGGGACCUUCCCCUAUAUUUCCAGACACUUGGCCUCCUGCAGAUGCCCAGUCUGACUGCAAACCUGUGAAAUAACUUCGGAGUGACACAAUUUGCUGUAGGAAAAUAGCCCGAGUCCAGCCUUCCCUCUCCUCCCACCUGCCUUCUCCUUCACUGCUGCAGUCUCCAGGAAAUCCUGUAAAUGAUGAGAUUGUUAUUUAUGGGCAGCAGGCAGUGGAGGCAAUCCACCUUGGGACUCGACCAGUGAAAAUCCCUGCAGGCAGCACUUGUGGGCCAGGGUGGAGAAUGAGCCAGUCUCCUGCGUGUUUCUUGACUCUAUCUACAGGCCCCGAAUGGGACACAGAAGUGAAAGGCCACUGAAUUAUCUGCUAAAUCCAUUGCCUUGUUCAGCAGCUCAGUGGGCUGACUAAGCUCCUAACCAGCUUGUAAGAGAGGUGAGAACUAGCUUUGGAGUUGAGGCUGUUUCCAAGCUGAGCUAUCACAGCUGCAAACCAUUAUUGGGGAACAGUUACACACACUAACUCUAGCCACCAAUGUCCAUACAACUUUAUGGCCCUAAUCCAACCAUCUCAUCUAAUAGGUGACUAUAUAAACUGUGUUUAAGUAAUGUGACCUGACAGGCAGUGCAUUUCUUUGUGAUUAUAGCAUGUGCCAUACAGCACAAAGCUAAAGGCAAUAAUCCCCAAGAGAUGUAUUGCCCUGGGUGUCUAAUUACUAUUAUGAAAUGAAUGUUUUCAUUAACAUGUAAUUUCAAGAAACUGUGCAUUCAAGCUAUGAUUAUGAUGUAACUGACAGCCAAUCAAAAGCUCCAGUCCUAUGAAGGUUGCAAAAGCCGUUUAUGCAUCAUGUAAAAACACAUACCGCAUGGGUUAAGGUUAAUGAUAUCCGGUUUGCAAAUAUUUAUUUCUGCAGCCAGGUGAUAUAUGGGACCCUUGUGUGAUGAGCAGCAUUUCAUUUUCAACUUGGAGCAGCUCACCUGCUCCCUGCUUACUCAUCCACCUCCUCAGCCAGGGCUAAUUAACACAUGCCAAACUCUGAGCAGCUUUCAGGCUCCCAGGUAAGAACAAAUGCCACAAACAAUUUAUUCCCUCCCUUGGGGGAAAUGAGGAAUAACCCCUCUGCCCCCCUCACUAAAAAAAAAGAAGCAACUAUUGCCCUGGUCCAGGUUGGGCAAUAUUCAGUGGUGGACCAACAACAGUUUUAAGGUCUGAUAUCUUGCGACCCAUCAGGGCUAGAAA